rnacentral:rRNA from 1 species
CAUGGCCUUGCGCCGGCGAUGGUUCAUUCAAAUUUCUGCCCUAUCAACUUUCGAUGGUAGGAUAGUGGCCUACCAUGGUGGCAACGGGUAACGGGGAAUUAGGGUUCGAUUCCGGAGAGGGAGCCUGAGAAACGGCUACCACAUCCAAGGAAGGCAGCAGGCGCGCAAAUUACCCAAUCCCGAUACGGGGAGGUAGUGACAAUAAAUACUGAUACGGGGCUCUUUUGGGUCUCGUAAUUGGAAUGAGUACAAUUUAAAUACCUUAACGAGGAACAAUUGGAGGGCAAGUCUGGUGCCAGCAGCCGCGGUAAUUCCAGCUCCAAUAGCGUAUAUUAAAGUUGUUGCAGUUAAAAAGCUCGUAGUUGAACCUUGGGUCUGGCUGGCCGGUCCGCCUCACCGCGAGUACUGGUCCGGCUGGACCUUUCCUUCUGGGGAACCUCAUGGCCUUCACUGGCUGUGGGGGGAACCAGGACUUUUACUGUGAAAAAAUUAGAGUGUUCAAAGCAGGCCUUUGCUCGAAUACAUUAGCAUGGAAUAAUAGAAUAGGACGUGCGGUUCUAUUUUGUUGGUUUCUAGGACCGCCGUAAUGAUUAAUAGGGAUAGUCGGGGGCGUCAGUAUUCAGCUGUCAGAGGUGAAAUUCUUGGAUUUGCUGAAGACUAACUACUGCGAAAGCAUUCGCCAAGGAUGUUUUCAUUAAUCAGGGAACGAAAGUUAGGGGAUCGAAGACGAUCAGAUACCGUCGUAGUCUUAACCAUAAACUAUGCCGACUAGGGAUCGGGCGGUGUUUCUAUGAUGACCCGCUCGGCACCUUACGAGAAAUCAAAGUUUUUGGGUUCUGGGGGGAGUAUGGUCGCAAGGCUGAAACUUAAAGAAAUUGACGGAAGGCACCACAAGGCGUGGACCCUGCGGCUUAAUUUGACUCAACACGGGGAAACUCACCAGGUCCAGACAAAAUAAGGAUUGACAGAUUGAGAGCUCUUUCUUGAUCUUUUGGAUGGUGGUGCAUGGCCGUUCUUAGUUGGUGGAGUGAUUUGUCUGCUUAAUUGCGAUAACGAACGAGACCUCGGCCCUUAAAUAGCCCGGUCCGCAUUUGCGGGCCGCUGGCUUCUUAGGGGGACUAUCGGCUCAAGCCGAUGGAAGUGCGCGGCAAUAACAGGUCUGUGAUGCCCUUAGAUGUUCUGGGCCGCACGCGCGCUACACUGACAGGGCCAGCGAGUACAUCACCUUGGCCGAGAGGUCUGGGUAAUCUUGUUAAACCCUGUCGUGCUGGGGAUAGAGCAUUGCAAUUAUUGCUCUUCAACGAGGAAUGCCUAGUAGGCACGAGU